ACCUGACUGCUAUCGGAUUGAUACUAAGCCAUGCGAGUCAUUGUAGCAAUACAAGGCAGACGGCUCAGUAACACGUAGUCAAUCUAACCUAUGGACGGGGAUAACCUCGGGAAACUGAGAAUAAUACCCGAUAGGCCACCAUGCCUGGAAUGGUUUGUGGCCCAAAUGAUUUAUCGCCGUAGGAUGGGACUGCGGUCUAUCAGCUUGUUGGUGAGGUAAUGGCCCACCAAGGCUAUAACAGAUACGGGCUCUGAGAGGAGAGGCCCGGAGAUGGGUACUGAGACACGGACCCAGGCCCUAUGGGGCGCAGCAGGCGAGAAAACUUUGCAAUGUGCGAAAGCACGACAAGGUUAAUCCGAGUGUUUUCUGCUAAAGAAAUCUUUUACCGGUCUUAAAACCACCGGCGAAUAAGGGGUGGGCAAGUUCUGGUGUCAGCCGCCGCGGUAAAACCAGCACCUCAAGUGGUCAGGAGGAUUAUUGGGCCUAAAGCAUCCGUAGCCUGCCGUGUAAGUUUUCGGUUAAAUCUAUGCGCUCAACGCAUAGGCUGCCGGAAAUACUGCACGGCUAGGGAGUGGGAGAGGUAGACGGUACUCAGUAGGAAGGGGUAAAAUCCUUUGAUCUAUUGAUGACCCCCUGUGGCGAAGGCGGUCUACUAGAACACGUCCGACGGUGAGGGAUGAAAGCUGGGGGAGCAAACCGGAUUAGAUACCCGGGUAGUCCCAGCUGUAAACAAUGCAAACUCGGUGAUGCAUUGGCGUAAGAGCCAGUGCAGUGCCGCAGGGAAGCCGUUAAGUUUGCCGCCUGGGAAGUACGUACGCAAGUAUGAAACUUAAAGGAAUUGGCGGGGGAGCACCACAAGGGGUGAAGCCUGCGGUUC
rnacentral:rRNA from 2 species